rnacentral:rRNA from 1 species
AACGAACGCUGGCGGCGCGUUUAAGCAUGCAAGUCGAGCGGCAAGGGCCUUCGGGCCCCUAGAGCGGCGGACGGGUGAGUAACACGUGGACAAUCUGCCCCCCGGCCCGGGAUAGCCCAGGGAAACCUGGAUUAAUACCGGAUGAGACGGGACCCGCGAUGGCGGGAUCCGGGAAAGGCGCUGCGGCGCCGCCGGGGGAUGAGUCUGCGUCCCAUUAGCUAGACGGCGGGGUAACGGCCCACCGUGGCGACGAUGGGUAGCCGGCCUGAGAGGGUGGACGGCCACAUUGGAACUGAGACACGGUCCAGACUCCUACGGGAGGCAGCAGCUAAGAAUCUUCCGCAAUGGGCGAAAGCCUGACGGAGCGACGCCCGCGUGAACGAAGAAGGCCGUGAGGUUGUAAAGUUCUUUUCGGGAGGGGGAACAACCGUGGCAGGGAAUGGCCGCGGGAUGACGUGAAUCCCGGAAUAAGCCCCGGCUAACUACGUGCCAGCCGCUGC